CAGUCGCCACGGGAAUACGAAGGGUGCAAGCGUUACUCGGAAUUACUGGGCGUAAAGCGUGUGUAGGUGGUUGUUUAAGUCUGUCGUGAAAGCUCUGGGCUCAACCUGGGAAUUGCGAUGGAUACUGGGCGACUAGAGUGCGGUAGAGGAUAGUGGAAUUUCCGGUGUAGCAGUGAAAUGCGUAGAGAUCGGAAGGAACAUCUGUGGCGAAGGCGACUAUCUGGGCCAACACUGACACUGAGGCACGAAAGCGUGGGGAGCAAACGGGAUUAGAUACCCGUGUAGUCCCUGUCUCUUAUAC
rnacentral:rRNA from 1 species